CGUAUGAACGCUCGCAAGUGCAUGAGGGUUCGUGUUGUUCGCUGGAAGGAUCGGUUUCUCUUUACGCCUGUACUGGCUCAGCUUCAGUGUUAUCAAGCAGAAAAACAUCUUUUUCUGCCACAUCUUAGAUGAGCUCCCACCGAGCUUGUCGGGAAGGAGACCUGCUGAAUUUGCCGCUGGAAGUUGAAAUUGUUAAGGGCCUGCAGUUUGCACACGUUCAAGUGUCGCUACUUUCACUGGAGG